CCUACGGGAGGCUGCAGUGGGGAAUAUUGCGCAAUGGGCGAAAGCCUGACGCAGCGACGCCGCGUGAGGGAUGAAGGUCUUCGGAUCGUAAACCUCUGUCAGCAGGGAAGAACGGUCACUGUGCUAAUCAGCAGUGAAUUGACGGUACCUGCAAAGGAAGCACCGGCUAACUCCGUGCCAGCAGCCGCGGUAAUACGGAGGGUGCGAGCGUUAAUCGGAAUUACUGGGCGUAAAGCGCUCGUAGGCGGUAUGUCAAGUCAAGGGUGAAAUCCCCGCGCUCAACGUGGGAACUGCCUUUGAAACUGGCAAACUGGGGUGUGUGAGAGGAUAGUGGAAUUCCAGGUGUAGGAGUGAAAUCCGUAGAUAUCUGGAGGAACAUCAGUGGCGAAGGCGACUAUCUGGCACAUAACUGACGCUGAGGAGCGAAAGCGUGGGUAGCAAACAGGAUUAGAUACCCGUGUAGUC
rnacentral:rRNA from 1 species